rnacentral:rRNA from 1 species
CCUACGGGAGGCAGCAGUGGGGAAUAUUGCGCAAUGGGCGAAAGCCUGACGCAGCGACGCCGCGUGAGGGAUGAAGGUCUUCGGAUCGUAAACCUCUGUCAGCAGGGAAGAACGGUCACUGUGCUAAUCAGCAGUGAAUUUACGGUACGUGUAAAGGAAGCACCGGCUAACUCCGUGCCAGCAGCCGCGGUAAUACGGAGGGUGCGGGCGUGAAUCGGAUUGACUGGGCGUAAAGCGCUCGUAGGCGGUAUGUCAAGUCAAGGGUGAAAUCCCCGCGCUCAACGUGGGAACUGCCUUUGAAACUGGCAAACUGGAGUAUGUGAGAGGAUGGUGGAAUUCCAGGUGUAGGAGUGAAAUCCUUAGAUAUCUGGAAGAACAUCAGUGGCGAAGGCGACUAUCUGGCACAUAACUGACGCUGAGGAGCGAAAGCGUGGGUAGCAAACAGGAUUAGAUACCCCAGUAGUC